UAUAUUCUUAUUUUUUAAUGGUUCAUAAUUAGUAUAAAUAGGACUUUGCAGGGUCUCUCCAAACCACGAAGCAUAUCUAUCAACAUGGCUACAUACAAGAGUAUCGCUGCAAUAGUUUUUCUCCUUGUUUGUGGUUCAAUCCUAAUGGGUAUGAAUCCAACUGAGGCCAAAGUUUGCGCUCAAAUUUGCUACACGGAGGCAGCUUAUAUGACUUGCCCAUCUUCAGGCUCUACGCAUCUUUCACCAUCCUGCAGCUGUUGCUUAGCUCCGGAGGAGGGCUGCUCCCUUUACAACUCCGAUGGAAGUAAAAUAUGUUAAGACUCUUAACUUAAGCGGCAUGAGCAUCAUCAUGCCCUGGUAUUGUUGGUUUUACGAAAUAAAAUAAUAGUAACGAGAAUAAGAAACAGACUACGACGUCUGGGUAACUUAUACCUUUGCUUUC